UGUACUCUUGUUCUGUUCCUCCUCAUCUUUCAGACUUCAGUAGGUCUAUGAAGUCUGGGCUCAGCCAGGAAAACAAACAGUGUGUUGCUUAGUGGAAAAUGACCAGCGCAGACUGCUUGUGAAGCUUCCCAGCCAAGAACUCUGUGCACCCUCCAUUUCUACAGCUACUUUGACUUUUAUACAGUGCCUCUCAUCUGAGAACCGAAAAGCCUGAGAAAUUUGGACUCACACCUUCUGUUUUGAGGUAGGGAAGUGUUAUACAGGUGGAGAAACUGGCACAGGUUGGUUAAGGGAUGUAUCUGAGAUCAAGUGGAGUCAGUUCCAGACCUCAGAGUAUGUCGAAACUCCACUAGGAACUUCAGUGUUGCAACUGAUUUUGUGUGGAAGGUGUUAAGAUUCGACAGUGGUAAAACCCUGAGAAGAGAUCCUGAAAUGGAAUUCUGACUCCAAAUUCCCCUGCUAUAACUCUUAGUACCUACUUUAUCUGAGAAGUGAUGAUGAUUCAUUUCCCCUCUAAAUAUACUCCCCCACAAUGAAGUUUGUCCUAAUAAGCAUUAUUCUUUGGAGUAGAAGUAUUAUUAGUGAAGCUAACCACAGUAUGGAGUAGUUCACAAAUAUCUGUGCUCCGAGAGCUGACACCUCCCUUCAGAUUUGCUGUCCACUGUCAGUACGAAGCAGCAGAUGCUUUUAACUAUUGCACAGUUUUUGGUAUUACCACAAUUAGGUGUGGGGAGUUAAAGCUCAGUGCUCUCAACUAGAGAGGCAAAGAGACCAAAACUCCCACUAAUUUCAAUGAGAGAUGAGGACUC